rnacentral:rRNA from 1 species
UACAGAGGUCCCAAGCGUUGUUCGGAUUCAUUGGGCGUAAAGGGUGCGUAGGUGGCGUCGUAAGUCGGGUGUGAAAUCUCGGGGCUUAACUCCGAAACUGCAUUCGAUACUGCGGUGCUUGAGGACUGGAGAGGAGACUGGAAUUUACGGUGUAGCAGUGAAAUGCGUAGAGAUCGUAAGGAAGACCAGUGGCGAAGGCGGGUUCUGGACAGUUUCCUGACGCUGAGGCACGAAGGUCAGGGGAGCAAACGGGG